rnacentral:rRNA from 1 species
UGGGGGAUAUUGCACAAUGGGGGGAACCCUGAAUGCAGCGACGCCGCGUGGGUGAAGAAGCGCCUCGGCGCGUAAAGCCCUGUCAGCAGGGAAGAAAAUGACGGUACCUGAAGAAGAAGCCCCGGCUAACUACGUGCC